GAUGAACGUUGGCGGCGUGCCUAACACAUGCAAGUCGAACGGGAAGCUAGACUUCGGUUUAGUGGAGAGUGGCGCACGGGUGAGUAACACGUAACUGAUCUGCCCUAGAGAGGAGGAUAACUACUGGAAACAGUAGCUAAAACUCCAUAAGCUCACGUUUCUUAGAAAGAUGUGAGAAAAACUCCGGUGCUCUAGGAUGAGGUUGCGUCCCAUCAGCUAGUUGGUAAGGUAAAGGCUUACCAAGGCAACGACGGGUAGGGGACCUGAGAGGGUGACCCCCCACACUGGAACUGAGACACGGUCCAGACUCCUACGGGAGGCAGCAGUGAGGAAUAUUGCACAAUGGACGCAAGUCUGAUGCAGCGACGCCGCGUGGGCGAAGAAGGUUUUCGGAUCGUAAAGCCCUUUUCUAUGUGACGAGAACGGACGGUAGCAUAGGAAUAAGUGUCGGCUAACUACG
rnacentral:rRNA from 1 species